ACACAUAUAUACAUACACACACAUAUACAUGUACAUAUAUUGGUCACUCAGGACAUGAAAUCACAUUUCCCAUACUGCUGACUCAGAGUGGGGACACUACUAACUUACCAAAGUGUGUCCCCAAUAUAGACAAACAAUCACCCACAAAAAACACUUAAGACAAACAAAGGUGACCGGGAGAAAGAGAAGUUUGGGUUAUACUUAUAGAUAAUAAACCGGAGACUCUUAUGGUCUCAAAAACCUGUAUCUACCUGAGAUACCCUGUAUCUAUCUUAGAUACUAACCUGGGUUACCAAAACCCUAUAAUAAACCGGAGACCUCUUAUGGUCUCAAAAACCUGUAUCUAUCUUAGAUACUAACCUGGGUUACCAAAACCCUAUAUAUUUAGACCAAAUGUCUAAUAAACCGGAGACCUCUUAUAGUCUCAAUAUAACUAGAGUCCUUACACCUUUCCUAUCUACUGGAUACAGUCUUACUGAACCAAACGGGGGGUCAUAGACAAUCAGCGUCAAAUAAGACACAAAAAGGCUACUCACCGCAAAUGGUUUUGCUGAUCCAACUUCUAUCCCACUUCUAGACACCAAGCUGAAAGGGUUAAUGUUGUAAUGGACUCUAAUCCCCUCGGUUCUCGAUCCCUCGGUCACCAUAAUCAACGUUGAUGGAGGAUCAUUGUAAGCAUUAACACACGGACAACAGCUUUACAAGACUCUCAAAUGAGUGUAUUCCAGAGCUGGCUUUUAUAAAUAGUUUGCUUACAUUAGCCAUGGUAUAUGCAAAUACAGUACAGACUAUAAGAUUUAUUACUUCCUUAUAUUACGUUAUUCUGACAAUGGAAAGAUAAGCUUUUGCAUACGUCUGGAAAAGAAUAUCCUUAAAAUCGGAAUGGGCAAGACAUCCUGAAAUUUAGCAUUGUCUUACAUCCUAUAGAAGAAAUACCUUAGUCUGUCACAGUCAGCAUUAUGUCGUAUAUUGAGUUUAAGUAUUCAAUAUUCCUUCAGUCAGCAAUAAUCAUGUUAUAAACCUUAUAAAAG
rnacentral:lncRNA from 1 species